UACGGAGGAUGCGAGCGUUAUCCGGAUUUACUGGGUGUAAAGGGAGCGUAGACGGCAGGGCAAGUCUGGAGUGAAAGCCCGGGGCCCAACCCCGGGACUGCUUUGGAAACUGCCAAGCUAGAGUGUCGGAGAGGUAAGUGGAAUUCCUAGUGUAGCGGUGAAAUGCGUAGAUAUUAGGAGGAACACCAGUGGCGAAGGCGGCUUACUGGACGAUGACUGACGCUGAGGCUCGAAAGCGUGGGGAGCAAACAGG
rnacentral:rRNA from 1 species